rnacentral:rRNA from 1 species
AUUGAACGCUGGCGGCAGGCUUAACACAUGCAAGUCGAGCGGAGAUGAGGUGCUUGCACCUUAUCUUAGCGGCGGACGGGUGAGUAAUGCUUAGGAAUCUGCCAUUUAGUGGGGGACAACAUUCCGAAAGGAAUGCUAAUACCGCAUACGUCCUACGGGAGAAAGCAGGGGAUCUUGGGACUGUGCGCUAAACGAUGAGGCUAGGUCGGAUUAGCUAGUUGGUGGGGUAUAGGCCUACCAAGGCGACGAUCUGUAGCGGGUCUGAGGGGAUGAUCCGCCACACUGGGACUGAGACACGGCCCAGACUCCUACGGGAGGCAGCAGUGGGGAAUAUUGGACAAUGGGCGGAAGCCUGAUCCAGCCAUGCCGCGUGUGUGAAGAAGGCCUUUUGGUUGUAAAGCACUUUAAGCGAGGAGGAGGCUACUAGUACUAAUACUACUGGAUAGUGGACGUUACUCGCAGAAUAAGCACCGGCUAACUCUGUGCCAGCAGCCGCCGUAACAC